rnacentral:rRNA from 1 species
UAAUACCUGCAGCUCUAGUGGUGAUCAUUAUUAUUGGGCCUAAAACGUCCGUAGCCGGUUUAGUAAAUGCCUGGGUAAAUUGUGUAGCUCAACUAUACGACUUCCGGGUAGACUGCUUGAACUUGAGAUCGGGAGAAGUUAGAGGUACUCCUGGGGUAGAGGUGAAAUUCUGUAAUCCUAGGGGGACCACCAGUGGCGAAGGCGUCUGACCAGAACGGGUCUGACGGUGAGGGACGAAGCCCUGGGGCGCAAACCGGAUUAGAUACCCGGGUAGUCCAGGGUGUAAACGCUGCUUGCUUGAUGUUAGUUGGGCUCCGAGCCCGAUUAGUGUCGGAGAGAAGUUGUUAAGCAAGCUGCCUG